rnacentral:rRNA from 1 species
GACGAACGCUGGCGGCAUGCCUAACACAUGCAAGUCGAACGAGACCUUCGGGUCUAGUGGCGCACGGGUGCGUAACGCGUGGGAACCUGCCCUUAGGUUCGGAAUAACUCCCCGAAAGGGGUGCUAAUACCGGAUAAUGUCUUCGGACCAAAGAUUUAUCGCCUUUGGAUGGGCCCGCGUUGGAUUAGCUAGUUGGUAGGGUAAAAGCCUACCAAGGCGACGAUCCAUAGCUGAUCUGAGAGGAUGAUCAGCCACACUGGGACUGAGACACGGCCCAGACUCCUACGGGAGGCAGCAGUGGGGAAUAUUGGACAAUGGGCGAAAGCCUGAUCCAGCAAUGCCGCGUGAGUGAUGAAGGCCUUAGGGUUGUAAAGCUCUUUUACCCGGGAUGAUAAUGACAGUACCGGGAGAAUAAGCUCCGGCUAACUCCGUG